GACCCAAUGACUAACCUAGGGAACGAUCAACAGCGAAAUCAACCGAGCCUGGAGGUUUCAAGGUCCCUCAUCGCGUCCGUCAUCGGCGGUUCAUUCUGACCAUUGACCCCAGCCAGGCGAGGCCCCCCCACCGCGACCUCAGCAGAGACAUGAAGAGGUCUCUGGGGGCCACAGUCAGUCGGCGAGGUUCAGGGUCUACAAAGCUGAAAACUAAGAAGAGAAAACGUGAUCCGAAUGUCAGAGAUUGG